rnacentral:rRNA from 1 species
UACGUAGGGUGCGAGCGUUAAUCGGAAUUACUGGGCGUAAAGCGUGCGCAGGCGGUUCGUUGUGUCGGCGGUGAAAUCCCCGGGCUCAACCUGGGAAUGGCCGUUGAAACUGGCGAACUGGAGUGUGGCAGAGGGGGGUGGAAUUCCGCGUGUAGCAGUGAAAUGCGUAGAGAUGCGGAGGAACACCGAUGGCGAAGGCAGCCCCCUGGGCUGACACUGACGCUCAGGCACGAAAGCGUGGGGAGCAAACGGG